rnacentral:rRNA from 1 species
UCGAUUAGUCUUUCGCCCCAUGCGCAGAUUUGACGAUCGAUUUGCACGUCAGAACCGCUGCGAGCCUCCACCAGAGUUUCCUCUGGCUUCACCCUAUCCACGCAUAGUUCACCAUCUUUCGGGUCCGAACAGUUAUGCUCUUACUCAAAUCCAUCCGAAGACAUCAGGAUCGGUCGAUGAUGCACCCGUAAGGGCUCUCACCUCCGUUCACUUUCAUUACGCUUGAGGGUUUAACACCCAAAAACUCGCAUAAAUGUUCGACUCCUUGGUCCGUGUUUCAAGACGGGUGGCUGAUGACCAUUAUGCCAGCAUCCUAGCCGAAGCGCGGUCCUCAGUCCCAGCGGCGGUAUUACACAGCAGGCUAUAACACUCCCGGGGGAGUCACGUUCCUGAAGUCUUUAUCCCGCCGCCGAAACUGAUGCUGGCCUCAACCAAGCGGAGUGCACCGGUGAGAACACCGGAUGAUCCGCAAGGCAAAGGUCUGGUCACAAGCCCUUCCCUUUCAACAAUUUCACGUACUAUUUAACCCUCUUUUCAAAGUGCUUUUCAUCUUUCGAUCACUCUACUUGUGCGCUAUCGGUCUCUGGCCGGUAUUUAGCUUUAGAAGAAAUUUACCUCCCAUUUAGAGCAGCAUUCCCAAACUACUCGACUCGUCGAAGGAGAUUUACAGAGGCUCGGCAUCCAACCGUACGGGGCUCUCACCCUCUAAGGCGUCCUGUUCCAAGGAACUCGGAAGGUACCUAACCAAAAUCAUCCUCUACAAAUUACAACUCGGACCCGAGGGCCAGAUUUCAAAUUUGAGCUGUUGCCGCUUCACUCGCCGUUACUAGGGCAU